UGACCUCAAAUCAGGUAGGAUUACCCGCUGAACUUAAGCAUAUCAAUAAGCGGAGGAAAAGAAACUAACAAGGAUUCCCCUAGUAACUGCGAGUGAAGCGGGAAAAGCUCAAAUUUAAAAUCUGGCGGUCUUCGAUCGUCCGAGUUGUAGUCUGGAGAAGUGUCUUCCGCGCUGGCCCGUGUACAAGUCUCUUGGAACAGAGCGUCAUAGAGGGUGAGAAUCCCGUCUUUGACACGGACUACCAGUGCUUUGUGAUGCGCUCUCAAAGAGUCGAGUUGUUUGGGAAUGCAGCUCAAAAUGGGUGGUAAAUUCCAUCUAAAGCUAAAUAUUGGCGAGAGACCGAUAGCGAACAAGUACCGUGAGG
rnacentral:rRNA from 1 species